CCCAGUAAGUUAGCCCAGGAUCUAAACCAAAUGCAGUGCGGUUCCUGUUCUUCUCCUGCACGAGGGUGAACUGGUUGGCUGGUUUGGAGCCCUUCACUUGGGUGCUGUGAGGUCGCCCUGGGAGCAGUGGCGGUGCUGUGUCCCUCCUCAGGCUGUGGCUGAAAACCACUUCAGGUUUCCAAGACCAGGGGGCUGUAUGAGGAAAUUUCUCCUGUCUGUUAGGAGUUGGGAAGCAAGCCCUUUUUUUUUUUUUUCUUCUCCUAAGGAAGAAUUUGAGAUUCUUCAGCCAGAACACAUUCAGUAAUCCUUUCACACUCAUCCUGGAAAGCUGGGCUCUUUAGGAAGUUGCUGUGUGCUGAUAUU